CUACAUAAACUAAAAUCAACAUUCAGAAUCAAUACUGCAGCUCUAUUUACCUGGAUAUUCAGCAGGUGAGAAAGAAGUAGACGAAGAAGAAGAGGCAGAGGGUACAAUCUGUAGAGAUCUGAAGAUGGGUUUUUCCCAGACAGAAGGAAGGUUUAAUAACUUCCUCCUGGUUUGUAAUUGCAAUUGAGGAGAGACGAGACAAGCAGGCAACAGAUGAAGUACACAAGUAUUCAUGUCUUAAUUCACUUUUCCUUCUCCGAUAGACACCCCGGCAAGUCACUAUGCCGAUUCAGUUGCUUUUCUGGAAUUCAGAGCUCCUGCUGCCCACUGCACUGCCUAAUUGACACCACUUCUGGUGCAGUUGGAUUAUAG
rnacentral:lncRNA from 1 species